rnacentral:rRNA from 1 species
AGAGUUUGAUCCUGGCUCAGGAUUAACGCUAGCGGCAGGCCUAAUACAUGCAAGUCGAACGGCAGCACGGGUAGCAAUACCUGGUGGCGAGUGGCGCACGGGUGCGUAACACGUAUGCAAUCUACCUUUAACUGGGGAAUAACCCCUCGAAAGAGGGGCUAAUACCGCAUAAUACUUUGAUGGGACAUCCCAAUGAAGUCAAACCUACGGGGGUUAAAGAUGAGCAUGCGUCCGAUUAGCUAGUUGGCGGGGUAACGGCCCACCAAGGCGACGAUCGGUAGGGGAUCUGAGAGGAUGAUCCCCCACACUGGUACUGAGACACGGACCAGACUCCUACGGGAGGCAGCAGUAAGGAAUAUUGGACAAUGGGCGCAAGCCUGAUCCAGCCAUGCCGCGUGCAGGAUGAAAGUGCUAUGCACUGUAAACUGCUUUUGUUUGGGAAAAAACCCCUGGUUUCUACCAGGGCUGAUUGUACCAAAAGAAUAAGGGACGGCUAACUUCGUGCCAGCAGCCGCGGUAAUACGAAGAUCCCAAGCGUUAUCCGGAUUUAUUGGGUUUAAAGGGUGCGUAGGCGGACUAUUAAGUCAGUGGUGAAAGCCCCAAGCUUAACUUGGGAACUGCCAUUGAUACUGAUGGUCUUGAGUACAUUUGAGGUGGGCGGAAUGUGUCAUGUAGCGGUGAAAUGCUUAGAUAUGACACAGAACACCGAUUGCGAAGGCAGCUCACUAAACUGUAACUGACGCUGAGGCACGAAAGCGUGGGGAGCAAACAGGAUUAGAUACCCUAGUAGUCC